UUCUCUUUUGAAUUACUAUAUUUUAUUAAGCCUCAACACUGUACUGAAUGCCCCAAACUUCCCCAGGCGAACAGCUUGAGGGUUUGGGCAUUGGGGUUUUGUCACUGCAUUUCCCUCACUUGCUUUUUCUAAUUUUGUGUUGGUAAAUCCUGGCCCUGACCCUAUCGUUCUCAUGUUUUCUCCCUAGAAGCACGCGUAGAUAUGUGGAGACGCUCCAGCACUUUAAUUCCACCUCAUUAUAUGAAGAACUUCUGACUCCCUCUAAAUUACCACGGUGUUAUUUUAUUUUAAUUUGUCAUUAGUCCCUCCUUAGCCUGCUUACCUAAAAAGAAACAAACAAAAAAAGAAGCGGUUUACGUGCCCAUGAAUUUUGCCAUUUAUGUGCAUGCGUUUAUUCCUCCUUCCCUGGUAGCUUUUGGACCUGCUAACCCAUUUCCACCCAAGUUGAGAGGAGAAUUUAUUUUACUGCAUCCUUUCAUUGCUCGCAGCUCUUGUGGUUUUAAUGCGAUGUUGCAGAAAGGAAUCGAGUGCUUUACUCUCGUUGCGUGAGUGCUGGUGAUGAAUGGGGACCUAAUGAUUUCUCUUUCCCUUGAAUCAGCACCUGCACAACGUCCAGAGCCGCGUGCCCUUGCCGGCUGUGAUACGGAGCAAUGCUUUUUGCACAGAAGUCCCUUUAGUCCCACAGAUGCUGAAGCUGUCUUCUGCUAAUACUUUUCUGCCAGAGAAGAAAUCAGCCCUUUCCACCUCAUGGCCAUUUGCAUCACCCUAAGGAAAUGCUAUGAUCGGAGAAGGCAACGGAUGAAUAGUCCGGCAGGGGAAAAUCUCUCUCAUAAGGUCAAGUUCCCCAAGUUCACAUUGCCAAAUACCUGGCCCAUGACGUGGUUAUUUUGCAGGUGGAGAGUCACGCUUGGUGCCCAUUCAGUCCUGGGCUGCUUGCUGGCAGCUGUUGUGCCUAACUCCAGGCAGGAAUACGUUUCUAUAUUUUAUUAUAUUAUUAUAUAUAUUAUGAGGAAUACAUAGAUUUAACAAUGUGAGGUUUUGUGCUAGAGAGAGGACAGGGGCAUAAAAUUGUUUUUCUCAGGGAUUUAAUGAUUAAAGAUAACUGUCCAUCACCGCUCGGUGUAUUGUCUUCCACCCUGUCUUGUGUAUCCGUGUCUGUCCAGUUCAUUGCCAUUUCUUUUUGCUGAAAGGAAAAAAGAUCCAACAGCAAGCAAGCAACAUUUUCCAAAGCCAAUUACCAACUUUCUACAUUGUUGUAACUCACUGUUACAGGAUGCAUUCGCAAAGAAUUCCCCAUUUACACAGCGAACAUGUUUAAUACCUUCAGCAUUGUGCUUGGACUACAACAGUGGAGAAGAAGAGAGCCAUUUGAUUUUUGGCAUUCGGAGCUGCUGGUUUGGUAUUCCCCUUUGAACGAGGGAGCGGGACAGGUUAGGAUCCUUUGCUGUUCCAAAAAUCUCGUUUCAUGUGUCAUCUUUUUUACCGAUGCCCAUGUUAUGCCUGCAAAGCCUCAUUUCAGUGUACCUAAAACCCAGGCAGUUGGCUGUUUGCAGUGCAAUGCCAGGAAUGGGUAUUGAAGCUCAGUGGUUUCACAGCACGCAGGAGAAAUUACUUUAACCUGGAUGAUUCGGGAGGGUGCGUCAGCCACCGGCAGCAGAGACAGCUCUGGUGACGAGGAGCACUUGCUGAGCUAAAAUUUGGAUUCCACAACCUGGUGUCUUUGAAUUUCUAAACCAGGGUCAUUGCAGUCAGCCACUCACAGAAAGAAAAUGGUUUUAAACAUGUUCCCUCUGGUCUCCACACUGAGCUCCAGGGUGUAUGUCAGAUUUUUCCUCUUUCCUCUGGGGCUUUUCCUGUUGCUUUUGCAGAAAUAACUAACAUCCUUGCCAGGCACUGGUGCUGAAGUAAAUGCAUUAACGCUGCCAGUCGCCUUGCUGGCUGGUAGCCAUGACCCUGUAUCUAACGGGAAUAAAGCCUUCCGAAACACAGCAGGAGUAAGCAGUGCCAUGGACGGCUGCUUUAAUGUCAGCACAAGGCAUAAAACCAGCUUUGCUUCUGCUCCUCUUUGUUUUCAGCCUUCUCUAUGAUGGAGGAGAAUCACCGCAGACCGUUCUUUUGCUUUUAGCUGCAUUUCUUUUUCAUGCAGAAGCAUGAGCGUCCUUGGGACGUUUCUUUCAUCACAGGCAGGAUUUUGAAAGAGCCAAAAGAAAAUGUCUCCAAUGGAUCUGUUGUGUAUAACAAGGCUGAGAUAUUUUGGUGGAGUCAGUAUUCCACACGUACCUGCUCGGGACUUAUCAAUAGUGUCAUCUUAUUGAGGCUCUGAGCUGUACUGAAAAAUCACCUUAUAAUCAGAGACUCCCACGUUGUUUUUGAGGACUCACACCUAUACUCUCUUGGUGGGGGCUGCUUGUGGUUUUAGAGGUGCUUACUCAGUUGCACACACUGUUUGGGAGCAGGGACUGGAGCCCAGGUCAAACUGAGCAGGGUGGUUUUCCCAAGAUUUUGGUGCCAGGUGGAGGAAACUUCAUGAGGUGGGUCCUUCAGUGGGAUUUUUUGCCUUUGGGGUGCUUCUGAGUGGACCACAGAAACUGUUCUUGGAUCAAAACCUAGCCAAAACCCCAUGGCCAAGGACUGAGAGGUAAAUAGAGUGAGUUUGUAAAAUCUUUUGAAAGCCUUGAACUAUAAAAAUGCAACGAGCUAUUAAAAUGAAACCGUAGCUUCCCCCUUACCUGGUUCACACAGUUAAAAUGCUCAGCCCUCUACAUAACAGGGUGUGCAUGAGCAGUGUGCUUUUUUUUAUCCUGCAGUGGCAAGAAAGUUUAUCUUGGGUUUUUUGGGCAGAGUUUAUUUGUGGAUGAAGCCAAAUCAAUACCAGCUUGCUUUCCUAAGAACUUUUUAUUAAAAGACCAAAAGAAAUAAGGGCAUGAAGCUCUCAGAUGUAAUGUUAAUCAGUGAUGGAGCUCAGCAGUACAGCAAGGAGUAGUCUCCUGGGAUGGAUGGGAUGAAGGUCCCAGAUGUCCUCAAGGUAGGACAUAUCCCGCUGCAGACACGUUUAGGUCUGGACUCCCCUCCUGUAGCUCCCAGGUAGAGGCUGAGUGGUCCUGGAUCCCUCUGCCUAGUGCAGGAGUAGGGGUCUCCAAGGGCUGCAUUGCACCCGCGGGUACCCCAUCAGACCAGACGAGGAUGUAGGAUGGGGCAGUGUCUGCGUUCCCUCUCCUUGCUCACAGCCUGGCUCAGUUCUUCAACAUCUUUUGCAGAUCAACCCAAGACUGUGACCUCCCUGGCAUCAAACAAGGCUUUCCCCAAUUAAUCUGGUGGGGCACGAUUUUGGUGUGAAUCCUGUCAGCGCAUUUGGUUUGUCUGGAGCGUGUCUACCCUUUCUACUGUUUUAUUUCUGCAGGUGGAUGUAAAACUUUUAGCUUUUAUGUGCAAGGCUUAGAUAGUGUCUGCAUGCAACAGCAAGAUGAAAAUCUGGAGAAAACCACAGUGGUUUUUUUAUUUGUGUGCUUCAGGCAUGACUUUGCUUUUUAACAGAGCUGCCUCCUGCGCUCUCUGUUGGAGAAAAUGCACCCAAAAAGGCUGGUCCUGUGUCCGGGAGAUGUCUGCCCUGGAAAUGAGGAUUACAAUUUAAAAGAUGCUUCACCUAAUUGCCCAGGCAGGCAGCGAGGCGGGUAGCACGGACCCGAGCCCGCCGCACCAGAGCCCGCUGCUGCUGGAGCUGGGGAAGCCAGGCGAUGCUCAGAGCAGAACUGGUUUUCAUGGUCGCCCUCAGGUUUUAAAUGAGAUUUUAUGAAAGAGAUUGAAGUUUCUCUGGCCACCAGGAGACAGCUUCCUUUUGGGGAGCCCCUGGAAAGGUUGCAUUUCCAGCUGCCAGCCCUGCUUCCUUGCCCCCUCAUUGCCAUCGAGGUUGUCUCCAGUCCCAGUUCUGUACUGGUUUGUGUUGGGAGAUGACAGGAGAAGGGCUUCAAUGAAAAGAGGUCAGCUCAAAGGGCUGCUGCUGGCUCUAGGCCACUGCAAAAGUAAGUGGUAACAAAAAAAGUGAAUGCACAAGCAUGAAAUGCUUCUUACUAGUUUGCUACUUUUUCUAAUGAACAGCCAAAUUAUUUGGCAGGAGGUUGACUUUGAUGAAGUUACUUGUCUUCUGGGAGAAGCAAUACCCUAGGAAGCAGGGCAAAGCUGUUGUGGGUGAGACCUCUGGGGCAAAAAUUAGGGAUGAGGCCAAUGGAUCCUCCAGGCUGAGAUUUUGGAGGGGCUUAUAAGACUUCCAUGACCCCGAUUUGCAAAUGAGCCGGGUAUGAACUGGUGUCCCUAUAUCCCAGCAAGGAGCUAGGGAAGGCAGGAUGGCAAACUUGCACAAAACAUUUAUCGUUUCGCAGCAGUGACAGCCCCGUGUGCUGGUAGGUGGGAAGAAGCGAUGAGCCCCGUCCCCUCGGGCCGGGGUUUUGCUCAGCAGCAGCACUGGCGUCUCAGGCGUCUUCUCCUGGUGUGGUGACACACAAGCCCAUUCGCAGCACGUUUCAGACAUUAAUUUUAGGCUUGUUGAGAGCUGAGAUACAAUGUGAUGGAAGCUGAUGCUUCUUGCAAGAAGUGGACAGAGGGCAGAGGACCUCUUUGGCCUAGGAAGGGGCUGGGGGCUAGGAGGCCUCAAGCACAUUCCCAAGAGACCCCAGGGUGGUUUUGACAGAACCAGAUCAAAGCUCCCAUUGAAGAAAAGAAAUAUCUUUUCAUUGAGGAGAGGGAAAUCUCAUUCAGGCCCAUGCCAGCUGGGCUUGGCAUUGUCUGAGUGCCCCAACGCACGUCGUGGCUUCCAGUGUCAGAAGUGUCGCUGGAUGAGGCUCUUUCACACUGCGUAAACCAAGCAAAGAAGGAACAGUUGGAUGAAAAGCAACGUGCCCAAGCGAUGGGCCCCCCCCGCACCCCUCAGCUAUUAUUGCAGCUAUUUUGCAUUUGAAUGAGAACUUUCUCCUUUUGCAGCCCACUUCCUUCUGGGGCUUGAAUUGGCAAAUGGAGUUGUUAAAAAUCUCCAGUCUUGAGACCUGACAAAAGAUGGUUGCUAUGGAAAUAAUGGAAGUUGCAUCAUGAACAAAAUAUCUUCAGGCCCAGAGCCAGCGGGAGGGAGGAGGGGACACCUUGUCGGUCACGCAACUUCUGCGGGAGCCCACGUGCCUCCAUGCGGUUUUCCUCAGAUACCCUUAUUCUUGGCAGUUUGUUCUUUGGCUUAAAGAAGCCACAAAUGGAGAAAUCGGAAACGUCAUAACUGCAUGGAAAGGGCUUGUACAAACCUCAUCUGCUCUUUCUCCAGUGCUAGCACCACCAAAUUAAGCAGAGUUGCCCUACAUGCAAAUUUAUUCCUCUGCACAGGGUUUGAAUCAGUUGAGUUACUCAAAAGCAGCCUUCUUCAGGUUAAUGAAAAAUCUGUCCAGCUAUACUCCCAUUCUUUGAGAAAUUAUAUGAAGAAAUUGGAAAAUGAGGACAAAUUCAUGGCUAGAACUCUUGCCUGCUGUUGUAUGGUGUCUACCCAUUGAGCUUGGCAGUAGACCAAGCCACAAGGUGUUGACCUUGCUUUCUCUUUGCAUCAGUGCAAUGCUUAAAAAUAGGCAAUGAGCUCAAAAGAAGAAUAUAUAGCUUGUCUCUGGGAGUGACUAUCCAAGAAAAUCACACUUGCUAAAAUCAGUAUAAAUGCUAGGAUUUCCAAGAGCAACCACUGGAUGGUUGGAAAACUGGAUGAUAGGCUGUGGCUCCAAGGGUGACAGACGUGGGCUUCCCAUUCACAGUAGCAUUUACCCGUAUAUUUGUGGGGAUUUGGAGUCAGGGUGAAAGAAUUCUGGAUUUUAGGAUUGUGUAUCUUAGCGGGAGCUUGGUUUUCCCCGGGUUGGCACAGGGUAAGAAAUUAGAAUCCUGGUUUCAAGUGAGGUGUAAAUUUGGGAUCAGACAGUGACGUGCAGCUCCUAAACUAGAUCUUAGAGUCUGAGCAUUUUACUCUGAAGAAUUUCAUCAUUCAGAACCAGCACAUUUGCAUCGAGGCUGAAUUAACUGCAAGCAUCAGGUUAUGGCAGCGUGGAAACCUAGGAAUGUGCCAUUGCCAACAUGCAAAGAAAGGGGUUGGGUAGCUCUGGGAUUAGUAGUGUGCUUACGGAUCAUUUUACUACAUCAGCUCCCAAAUGUGUGAUGUUAGGGGGGAAAAAGAUACUAUCUGGUGCCCCUGAUCCCUCGUAACCCCCUGCAAAAGGAAUUAGAGGGUUUGGCUUUGCCGCAGGUAUUUGCAAGGCAGCCCAAAAACAUAUCCGUGGGGAUGUGGCUUUAAGGGACAUGACUCUAACUGUGAUGUUUAGUUGGAGGGGUCACAUCUUUCCAUGGCCUUCUGGGGGUCAAGGAUGGAGAAAGGCUCUUUUAUCGCCUAGGAUGUAUUUCAUGAAGGUGGAGGGAGAACAGGAAUCAGGGCUCCGGCUAUGAUGGAAAACACAAGGUGGCACAAAGCCAUGUCUCACCUCGAUGCCAGAAGGAAGAGAUCAACAAAGUACCCAUGAAGAUGCUAAAGGAAAGGAGAGGUCUUGAGGUCUGGAGAGAGAAACCUUCCCCAGUAAGGUUGUACGGAGGAGAGGGAAUUUGCAUUUCAUGCACACUUCCUACACACCCCAAGGUAGCUGCAUUAAACUGUGCUUUUUUGGCCAUCUGCUAGAGGAAUAGCCAACUCGCAGCAAGAAAGGGAGGGUGGUUUUGUUUUUUAAAAAAAAAAAAUCCCACUGGUUAAAAUCA